rnacentral:lncRNA from 1 species
AAAAGCGUUGCUGAUUGGAGGGGAAACAUUAUGAAGUAUACUUUGUAGUAGUUUGAUAUAAUCUAAUAAAUCAAAUAAAUCUAUAGUCACUUUUGUAGAAGCUUAGAAGUAAUAUAAGAUUACCUGACAUCGGACAAUGAUUGAAAAUUCUUAACUAAUGUACUGUGUUAAAGAGAGAAAAGGCAUGUGCCUACACGAAAGAAUAAAUUAUAGUGGAUAUUUGCUAUAAAUAUUCUAUUACACAAAUGGCAUGCAUAUAGUCACGCCUGAAUAUAGUUUUAACACUAGUGUAGAUGACGAGCACAGCUUGGAUCGCCUGCGGAGAUGAAGCGUUGCCAUUGCAAUCGGCAUCAAGCACCAUAGGGUGUGCAAUCAGCAACAAGCACGCAACAAGUACCAUAGGAAAGUAGUCUGCAAUAUGAAGAGUGAAACUGAGAGUAUGAAAAAAAUACCGACGUUUAGAUGGAUAGGAAUGCAAAAUAAAUGUUGGGUGGACCAUUUUUCUUAUCAAGGACAAUCACAUGGGACUUACUACUGCGCUUUCUUGUUUCCUCCAGCUGCUUUCCCACCACUAUUGUUCCUUAAGUUCCAGACACCCAUGUUUAGCGAAAGAGGAUCAUUGUACCUGUUUACUUCAUAGCAUAAAUAAACAAGCGAUGGGAAGAACAACCCGUCUUUGAUUUUAGGUGGGUGAAAGGAUCACUGCCAUCCUCAGUAGCAGCCAGAGAAGCAUCGGCAUCGACAUCCUAGUAUAAGAUAUAGCAAUCUAGUUAAAUGGAAGAGAGGUGAUGCAUACAUCAAACAAUAUUUUCAGCAAUGAAUGCAUAAUUUAAAAUAUAUAUAUAUAAGUUCCAGAUUAUUUAGUUCUUAUGAUGCACUUGUCAUUCUGUUACUAAUAUUUUCAGCAAUCCAUGUGAACCAUUGCUCAGUUCUUUGGCAAACCACAACAUUGUAAUGCGGUGUGAUCAAAUUAUAUUUUGGCAUCACUAUUUUUUCUUUCUAAUCCAUGCGAACAUUGCCAUCAGUUGUGUUUGUAAAUGACUGGUAUUCCUCUGAACUAAAUAAAUGUGUCAAUAAGAAAAAAUAAAUAAGCAAUAAUCCAUUUUUGGGGUAAUAUAGGGAGUUGUUGAUAUAGGAAACUACAAACAGAAAAACGGCUUCAUCAGGACAAUAUGUAUUAAACCUUCAAACGGUGAGCAAUUUAUGAGAGCAUAUCUCCCUCUGAUUUAUGAAAUUAUUCUUUCUUAUAAUUAGGGCAUCUGUCCAAUAAUUUCUCUCCAGCCGGUGUACAGUAACUAUGGGGCGAAAUUUCUACAUACUAAAGGUUUUGUAUGCCCUAAACCUGACAUGAUGCUUGCUCCAAUAUGCCAUCUCUACCUGGAUGAUACAAUAAAUAUGUGCUUGUGAGUAUAAUAAAUUGCCUACUCAUCAAGCCAGUGUAAGGUAGGUUGGAUUGUAGGCUGAGAAGUACCAAACCGAGGAAGACCAGAGUUGGGCAAGGCUAAAGAUUGAGGAAUACCAUGAGGAUGUAGCAUAUAAGAAUGCAUCCGAUCCAUCUGCCCAGGAGAAACAAAACCAUUAGUCCUAAUAGUGAUGGAACAAUAGGUACAACAUUAGCAUUAUUUC